rnacentral:tRNA from 1 species
CGGUAGCUCAGCUGGUUAGAGUGCCUGCCUGUCACGCAGGAUGUCGAGGGUUCAAAUCCCUUCCG